GGCCUUUCUAAUUUGAAGAAGAAGAAAUUUAAUCAAAUUUAGAUUCUGUAUAAAAUACGUACAAUUAAAUUUUGUAAUUAGAAAUAGAAUUCAAUAGACUAUGAAUUGUAAAUAUAAUUUUACAGAGCCAGAUCGAACUCGCUAAUUUUAAUAACUCACUUGACUGUUAACGUUUUAGAUAGAUAAUUCGUAAUGUGUUUUUAUUGUAUUUAGUUGUGUACACUAUAGUCAAGCAGUGAAGUUGAGCGAAAAUAACAAUCCGAUAUUACUUUAUGAUAUAUGAGAAUUUAGGAUCGCUACUAUUAUUUUAAACACCAAUCUGAAAUAAUGAAACAUAAUGGUUUUCUUGACUGGUAGCGCAACUACGAUAUAAGUAAAAGUGAACGAGGAUAGGCUACAAAGACUCAUCUUACUGAAUAUAAACACAAAAAAAAGGUAGUGGUAAAACAUUAGAUUAUGGACUGUCUGUUCAGGAAGACUACCUAAUCUAUCUCACCAACAGAGUCGGAGUGCACUUAUGCUUUAUGCAUCCAAUUCGACAGUUCAUAAUCUUAAGUUUAGUCAAGGUAAACAUCAAGAAUGUUAUUCAUUGGUAAAUAGAAGAUGAGUUAUAAUCCAUUUCACCAUCUAUGGAGGAACAGGGAACAGCUAGGAUAAACAAGCCCAAAUCCAUUCCUCUAUGGAGAAGGAAAAUGAUUAUUUGGGGCUUGCACAAAGAACCAGGAGCCGAAGAAACAACUCAUCAAAGUCUAGUCCACUGUAGCCACACUAGUGAAGACUAUCAACUCUUUAACCAAAUAACAGGAGUCAAACAGCUAGGAUAAACAAGCCCAGAUCCAUUCCUCUAUGCAGAAGGAAAAUUAUUAUUUGGAGCCUGCACAAAGAACCAGGAACUGAAGAAACAACUCAUUGAAGCCUAGUCCACCAUAGCCAAACUAGAGAAGAGUAUCAAUGCUUUAACCAAAAAAUAGGAAUCAAAAAGGAGACUAGAUAAUUCCAACAAGAAAACAAGCUGCACUAAUUAGUCAAUUAGAAAAAAAAUAUCAAAAAUUGUGUGUGUCAGCUCCGACGCACGACUGGAGUUUACUCCUUAAGUUCGAUAGUCUAACUAGACGCAAAAAGAGUUUAUUUAACUUAAAAAAGAUUGAUACUGUAUAAAAGGGUAAAUUUGUUAAUUAAUGAAAAUAAUAUACAUAUAUAAAUAUAUAUUUAUUCAAUUUAUUCAUUUCAUAUACAUUUAUUAUAACUAAUCAACGAAAUAUUUUACAUUAAACUUUUUACAAUAGUCAAUUUCAGAUGUGCUCGAUAAUUCAUAUUGGGUUGAUUAUCUAAUUUUAUGUGUUGUUUUCAAAUAUAUAUUUAUAUGAACUACAUCGAUAAUUAUUAAAAUAUUUAAUAAAUACAAAUUGGACAUGCUCAUACAUAUAAUACAUGAAUUAUAACAUACCUUGCAACCACAUGUUUGUUAGAUGUUCCGGCAAUAUCAUCUACACCUCUUUCUGCCAUAGUUAUUUGAAAAUACUUUCAGUUCACUUUAGCGGAACACAAUGAUAAAAAUUAAAACUUCACAAUAACAAUAUUAAUUAUUGAUAUUUAUAAUAAAAACAUCAAUAUAAGUAUGUCGACACUGAAAAAUUAGAAAGUUGCGCAUCAUAGGGUGCGCACCAAAAACGUAACGAGGUCAUUCAUCGAUAGAUUUUACUCCUCACAUUUUUCUCAUACCGGGCUCCUUAUAAAUGCAAAUCGAUUUUUAAGGAGUAAACUCCAAAAAGGCAGAAUCUUCAGAAACAAGCUGGAGGUGUCCAAGUGGAAUACUUACACCAUAAUUGAGUAAGGAGUUAAAAUAUAAUUAAAGACUAAUACAAGUAAUUAGAUAUCUCAAAGAACUAAUCGAUCAAAGUAUAAAUUGACACUCUUCACGUAUUUCUUUAUAUUAAGUAUAUAUGUAUGCUACAGUUAUUAAAACUGUUUUAAUUAUAAAAAUCAACCUAUCGAUUGAAUUAUGCAUGCCCAAUCCUAUUGUAAGUAACAGUUAUCGAAGAUAAAGGGAGACAUACCUUCUUAAUAACUAUACUCUUGAAAGGACACAGUUUAAUUGUACUUUUAAUAAAUAAAACACAAAAAGGCUUGAAAAAAAUAAUUUAUUUUCACUAUUCCACAAACAUAAAUAAAGGAAUGAAUAAUAAAUGUUACAAAACAUAGACAGCUAAAAAUUGUGUAUACUUGGAGUAUGAAAUAAAUUGUUGAUAUCCUAAA